CAAACCUCAGUUGCCAACCAAUUGCUGAGAAGACCUGACCUGAUUGCGCCAACAUGACUAGGUCCAGAAGAUCCAGACGUCGCCAUUCAAGAAGGCAGGUUGAGAUGGAGAAAAGAUUAGCCAUGAAAACUGCCCAGUCCAGGCGGCGUAGAACUAGGCGAAAGACGAGAAAUGAGCGAGGCAGUAGAAGGCAGAGUCCUAACCCAAGAAGGCAAUGAUCCUUCAGCUGCUCACAAGGAUCGACCCGUCUCCAGAAGAUUCCUGGAAGAGCCACGGAAUAUCAUCCCAAGAUGACUGAAUACACGAGUUCACAAGCCUAACGUAUCUCUAGGAACCCAUGAUCGAACGGUUUUAGAAGGAAUUAAACUGAUCGAAAUGAA